GCUUAGCCCUAAACCUAAAUAAUUUAAUAACAAAAAUAUUUGCCAGAGAACUACUAGCCAUAGCUUAAAACUCAAAGGACUUGGCGGUACUUUAUAUCCAUCUAGAGGAGCCUGUUCUAUAAUCGAUAAACCCCGCUAUACCUCACCAUCUCUUGCUAAUUCAGCCUAUAUACCGCCAUCUUCAGCAAACCCUAAAAAGGUACUAAAGUAAGCACAAGAACAAACAUAAAAACGUUAGGUCAAGGUGUAGCCAAUGAGAUGGGAAGAAAUGGGCUACAUUUUCUUUUAAAAGAACAUCACGAAACCCUUUAUGAAACUAAAGGAUAAAGGCGGAUUUAGUAGUAAAUUAAGAAUAGAGAGCUUAAUUG
rnacentral:rRNA from 1 species